AGCAUCAACUCGUUCUAAACAAAAAGGAGCAGCCACCUCCUUCACCUCUCACUCAGCCGACAUCCCCCUUUCUUCUCCUUCUCUCUGCGAAAUCCGGUCACCGGAGCAACUCAUUGCUCGGCAAGCUCACCCACCCCCAUGGCACCUCGCUUGUGCCAUCUAACACCUUACCACACCCCCUCUCCUCCUCAUCGAACUCCCUCCUUCCUUCGAUUGACGAACGAGCGACCACCACCACCACUGCCGUCCGGUGGUGGCGUGAAGACGAACACGAGAGAGAGAGACGUGGAGAGAGAAGCGGAGGCGAGACGACGGUAGUGCCGUCGUCUGCGGCAGCGGCGUCAAUCGUCCUCGGGAUCGAGUCUUGAUUUGGCUUCGGUUCAGCUUCCAUUCUCAGGUUCGAGACCCGUUCGAUUUCAGUCCAUUCGUCAUCUAUUCCGGUUCAGGUCCUACUCGGGUCAGUCAACAUGGCCGUCUCGGUUCUGUUCGAUAAUCGGUUCAGGCUCGUCUCGGGACUGUGCCAUAUACAUCAAGCACAUCAGUGGUUUCGGGUCAGAUUUUGGAUGAAUUCGAUUUAUGUCAGCGGGCCGGGUUUCAGAUUCAACAUGUUGUGGUUCGGGUUAGUCACGUACUCACGGCUUAGUUUUGCUUCUCGGUUCAGCUCACACCGGUUCUGUUUUAGGUCUCGGUUCGGGUUCGGUCAACACAAGUCAACAGCAGUCAACUCGGCCAACGAAAGUCAACCGGUCAACUGCUGGUCAACUGUCGAACCAAGACUUGGGUGACCUCGGUGUUCUAUUCUCCUAAACUCAUACAGUCGUCAACACUUGGAUAAUCGGAAGACUUAACAAUUCCGUUGUUAGACAAGACGAUGAAGAAAUCAAGUUAGGAUGGACUUAGAUACUCAUUCAAUAAUAAACAGUGUUGUUGCAAUUUGUCUUUAUUUGAAACAAUGUAUUCAAAAUUUUAGUCAUUAAUGAAAUUGGAUUUAAAUUAUAUUGUCACAUAGUGUUAUGAUGUCUCUUGCAAUCUAGUUUUCGUCUCAUCCCGAUGUUUCCGCCAUCGGUUGGGGUGUGACAAUUUCGGCUUCUGAUGGUUUUAAUUAUCUUGAUAAUGCAUUGUGGUUAGGUUAUUUUGGCCGUUAUUUAUUGUUUUUUCUUUGUAUUUGUGUUUCUUUGUUUUGGGUUCGGUAUGCAUUGUAUGAUUCCAAUGAUUAUUGUUAUAGAAAUUUUGUUUUGUUUACUGGAUUGCUUAUUUGUGGACUAAGAUCCAUUAUUAUUAUUAUUGUUAUUGUUAUUGUUAUUGUUAUUGUUAUUGUUAUUGUUAUUGUUAUUGUUUGUUGUUGUUAUUGUUAUUGUUAUUGUUAUUGUUAUUGUUAUUGUUAUUAUUAUUAUUUUGUCUGUUUUUGUUAGACAUUAGGAGUUGUUUGUUUUGGUGGCUUUAUCUUAAUUUCGUGCUUAUUUGGUAAUCUUGGCUCAACUGUUUGAUAAGAAUCAAAAUGUAAGUGCAAAUAUACAAAAGUUUGUAACUUCAUGUUUUACCUUCUUUUUUCUAGCUUACUGCUUCAAUUUUGCGUACCCAAUGAAGAGGUGGUGCUAGUAAUUAAAAAAAAGUCUAGCAUUGAUGCACUGAUUAUGGGUCGCGAGUCAGCGGGUUGUAGAGUCAAAUACAUAGUCGGGUCGUGGGUUUGAAACGGGUCAAGGUAGCUGCCAACAAACUGUCUUACUGAUGCAAAAGUUUUGAAAUUUUUAAUAAGAAAAAAAGUAUCCUUGAAUGACACUGCUGAUCGUGUUGAGCAGUACUCUCAUUCUCAUUUGGGUAACAGUAUAAUUGUGAAGGAGCUAGCAUUUUAGUGCAAACAUGGCAGCAAAUGGGUUACAAGGGUGGUCAAGUUUUGCUGAUGUUAGUAUUUAUUUUGCUGAAUAUGCCUGAUAUCCGGUGUGCUAAUAGACUUGCUCUAAAAAUGUUUAAAAGAACUUAUAAAACCUUUUCAAAUAUCCAUCCUUGCACAUCAUGGUGCUAAAAUGUUAUCAAAACUACAGUACGACACAACCAUGUCCAUCCCGCGUAUCUUGAUUUUUGUGCAGGUUUCUGCUAUGUGUUGUUAUGGUCAAUCUACAUCUGUCCCUCUCUCCUAAUUUCAGAUGUUCAAGCUAAGAUGUUGAAACAACACCAUUUUAUUCAUAAUGAGGCGGAAAAAGUCCCACACAUUUAAUGUAUGGUCUGAUUUCUACAGGUGAACUCUUUACAAACAGCAAAGGAUGAAGCUUGGAACUUUGAAGCUGAUGUGUCCCCUAGAUUUCAGCAUUCUGGAGGUACCUCACGAAAUAAUAUGGCAAAUUUCGUCCUACAACUUAAGUAUGUCUAAAAAUAAAUACGUUUUGUAUCUUUAAUUUUGAUAAACUAUAUAGAAUUUCCAUGUUUGGAAACUGUCUGUUUAUCUAGAGAAAUCUCUUUACUCAUUUUGUGAACUCAAGAUUUCAUAUGCAAACUCGAUUUUGACGUGUUAAUGGUUUACAAGAAGAAAGAGCAAGAAAUGGGUGUUGACUACUCUUAUUAGAUUUACACCAAGCGUAAUGUUUGACGGUCACUAGCUUCCUGUUGGUGCUAAAGUUCAAGUUGUUUAUAGUGAAGAUGGUGAAAGGUAUGAUGCAACAAUUGAGGCUCUUACACCUAAUGGGCAUUUGGUUUGAUUAGUUUUAUGUUUGAACAUUCAUAGUUGAAGACAUUAUAUUGUAUAUCAUCUUCUUAGGCCUCACGAAGUUAAAAAGUUCAAUUAAUGUCA